GCAAAACCAGGCGCUCUCACACACUGGGUGCUCAACGAAUACUGAACGAGGGAAUCUCAGCAUAGCUGGUGCUCAAACAUUGCUUUCUGAUGAACUGACUUAAAUAUUAGCUCUUUUUGUAACAUUAGGACCAGCUGAAACCGAUUAACCAUUACUUAAGUUGUUACAGCGAGGCAGAGCCAAAAUCUCCCGGGCGUGUGCAAGAGGGAAAGCUUUCUAAUUGUGAACACCGCGCGCCCCGCAGAAGGCUGCAUUGGCAUCACCUGGGACUGGUUAGAAAUGCCAAAAACGCCUGACCCGCUCCCAGGUCCAGAAGACAGAUUUAAGCUUUGCCUCUUGUCUCCUUGCCAGUUGACUGGCAAUAGAAGUUUUUCUUUUCUCAAAAGCCUGUGCCACAGUUUGGUUUCUGUGUGCCUCAGGUUACGAGCCCAUUGCUCAGUGACACUUUCAGUCAGUGUAUCGUCUUCACUGUGCAAUGCUCUCUACUAAGCUGAGAGCAAAGAGUAGAGAAGCCCGGCAGCGCUUUCCCUUGGGCCCCGCUAUGCUUUAAACAUAUCUCUAGAUUGCAAUUAUCCACCUCACUGUAAAGCCUUUCCUGACUAUCCAAAUUAAAAGUGCUGCCCACCCACCCACGGGAACACCUCCUAGUUCCUCCUCUGCUUUAUUUUUCUCUUUGCACUCACCACCAUCUGAUAGACUGUGUGCCUCUUAUUUCAUGUAUUAUCCUCUCCUGUAAAAUGUCAGCAGCAUGAGGGCAGCUGGUCUGUUUUGUUCCCUAUGCCCAGCACCUAGUUUAGGAUUUGACACAUGGUAGCUAUCCAGUAAAUAAUUGUUGAAUUAAGAAAUGAAUCCUUUUGUUUGUUUCUCCACCUAGACUGUGGGGCAGUACACAUCCUUGCAGUACCCAGCGCAAAAUAAGUGCACAAUUAGUGGUUAUUGGAUGAAGAAGUGGUUCGAAAUGGUCCAUGGUGGUAGGCCCCUGAUUUGCUAAUGUGAUGAGAUGUUGGACGAAAGAAAGAAUCCCAGCCCUGUCAAGAGACUUUUCAUGUAUGCUAUUGGUUCUCUAUCAUUAUAAAAUUAUACGGUGAUGAUUCUGGCUUGUUGCCAGAGAUUAUUGCAUCCCCCGCUAGGGUACUGACCUUAAGAAUAUCCUCAUAAACAGCAUACUCAUCAGGUUCCCACCCCAAAAAGCCCCAGUCCUCUAUCUAGAUAGUUACCACUUGUAAUUCAGAGUGGGUGAACUUUUUG
rnacentral:lncRNA from 10 species